GACGACAUCAAAAGAUCGAUGUAGAAUAAAAAACUUAAAUCGAAUAGUUUGGGGGUGGGGGGUCAACAUUGCUGCAAGUUUUGUUAAUCUAAAAUCGAUUUUACAUAUAUCCAUAUAGGUAAAUCAAUUUUUCCUAAAUUAAGUUAAGAAGGGGGGUAGGGGGGUCAGCGAAAAAACUAUGUGAAUUAAGUUUUUCAUCCUACAUUGAACUUUUGAUGUCGUCCCUUAGUGAUAUAAACA
rnacentral:lncRNA from 1 species